GUGCACCAGGCGCGAAAACUUCGCAAUGCGCGAAAGCGCGACGAGGGGAUUCCAAGUGCAUGCACUAAGUGUAUGCUUUUCGUGAGUUUAAAACGCUCACGGAGUAAGGGCUGGGUAAGACUGGUGCCAGCCGCCGCGGUAAUACCAGCGGCCCUAGUGGUGAUCGUUAUUAUUGGGCCUAAAGCGUCCGUAGCCGGUCCGGUAAAUCUCUGGGUAAAUCGUUGGGCUUAACUCAGCGAAUUCUGGGGAGACUGCUGGACUUGGGACCGGGAGAGGUCGGAGGUACUCCAGGGGUAGGGGUGAAAUCCUGUAAUCCUUGGGGGACCACCGGUGGCGAAGGCGUCCGACCAGAACGGGUCCGACGGUAAGGGACGAAGCCCUGGGGCGCGAACCGGAUUAGAUACCCCUGUAGU
rnacentral:rRNA from 1 species